GCCAGCGUUACCUGAUCCUCUGAACGCGACAGUCCUUCCCACUCAGCAUGCUGCCCAGCAGCUCCAUCCCGGGGUCCUGGAACUGGUUGCCGUCCAGCCUGGCCAGGAGGGAGAGCAGUGCCCUGCACACCGUGGGACACGGAUGCUGGCCCUCCUCCUUCUGAGGAUGUGGGAUGUGCUCUCGGAUCCUGAAUGGCCCUGGCCCUGAAGCCUCCAGCCCGUGCUAAGGUCCACAAGGGCUUUCACCUGCUCUGCUGGGGAGCCAGUGCCAUGGCCCUGGCCAGCCUCCCCACCCGUCCACACCUCCUGCUUCCUCAUGGAGUCUGGGAUUGGCGUCAGGAGCUGUGAAGAAAGCGCCCAAUCAUGUCCCCCCCAGCAGCCUGGGAACAGACGCACUGCCUCCCCCAAGUGAUGAUGAAUGGCACGCAUCCUUGUCUUACUCCUGACUACCAGGAGCAGCCCCAGCUUGAAACAUUGGGCCUGAUGUUUGCGACAGGUUUCUAGAAGGCUAAAUACUAGACUAUUGCGUUUUAUGGUGAGAGCAGUUUAUUCAUUCAUCUGUCGAUGGACACUUGGAUUGUUUCCACCUCUCGGCUCUUGUGAGAAACGCUGCCGUGAACAUGGUGUACAGGCAUCUUCAACCCAGCUGUCCCCCCACAUCUUCCUGUGAGUAAAGGGCCCCCGAGGGAGUCAGCUGCACCCUGGAACCCCAGAAUGUGGCAGUAUCCUCAGGGCUCUGCUGUGGACCUCAGCACGCAGGCUGCCCUGACCAGGAACGUGUGCGGGGGAAGGAUGUGCCCAGAGCGAACGACGUGAGAGAAGUCAUGACAGAGGGAAAGUGCAGGACCUCCCCCGGUGCCAGGGAGCAGGCCAGUCAAUGGGGCUCUGGGAGCCUCGGUUCUCCUCAGCCUGCGGGAGCA